rnacentral:sRNA from 1 species
UAACCGUUGCUUUGGUGUCCACUCGAAA